GGAAAGGCGCGCGAUACAGGGUGACAGCCCCGUACACAAAAAUGCACAUGCUGUGAGCUCGAUGAGUAGGGCGGGACACGUGGUAUCCUGUCUGAAUAUGGGGGGACCAUCCUCCAAGGCUAAAUACUCCUGACUGACCGAUAGUGAACCAGUACCGUGAGGGAAAGGCGAAAAGAACCCCGGCGAGGGGAGUGAAAAAGAACCUGAAACCGUGUACGUACAAGCAGUGGGAGCACGCUUAGGCGUGUGACUGCGUACCUUUUGUAUAAUGGGUCAGCGACUUAUAUUCUGUAGCAAGGUUAACCGAAUAGGGGAGCCGAAGGGAAACCGAGUCUUAACUGGGCGUUAAGUUGCAGGGUAUAGACCCGAAACCCGGUGAUCUAGCCAUGGGCAGGUUGAAGGUUGGGUAACACUAACUGGAGGACCGAACCGACUAAUGUUGAAAAAUUAGCGGAUGACUUGUGGCUGGGGGUGAAAGGCCAAUCAAACCGGGAGAUAGCUGGUUCUCCCCGAAAGCUAUUUAGGUAGCGCCUCGUGAAUUCAUC
rnacentral:rRNA from 1 species